ensembl:lncRNA
AUGUUCUGGACAUGUUUUAGGCAGAAACAGCGCCCUCUACGGAGCAGAGAGGAACUGCAACCACACUAUCCAAGCCGCUUCUACAGCGUACCUAAAGAGAAAGAUGGAGAAAGUGUGACCUACCAUACAGAUGUCAAGUUGAGUUCUGCAGUUUUUUUGCAACGUCCCUCAGGUGACAAUACAAAUAUUUUUUUCCCACCUUUUACACGCAAACACUCACACACUGUUAAGCAUACACAACUAAUGUAAAGCAUCAAUAUCAUUUGCUGAGGAUCCAUUACAUCCAGUUUUUCUUGACCAUCUGAAGGUUCUUGCCAAAUAUUGUCUCAAACAUCAAAGAGAGGCUGACUUUGUUCAUUUUACAGCUAGAUGUAAUAUAUGCUACAACCCUGUUUUAAAUCCACAAAGCCAAACACAUAUAAGGUCCCGCAAACAUUCACAUUCGGUGGCUCUGAAAGACAUACAAUUACACUUACAGUUUGGAGAAUGGCAAGUCUUUCCAAGUCUGUCUGGGCUAGUAGGUUAAUCCGCAAUUUCCAAUGAACUGAAAGUCAGGAUGGAAACAGAGGGAUUGGGUGAAGGUAUCUCAACUAGGCGAAACAGAUUUUAAAGGAGGGAAAUAAGAAGCUUAGAUUGUGUCUGACAAAUGCACUCCCCUUUAACUUUCUUGCAAACCAGUGGCAGAUCAGGAUGUGAAAGAAUUAAGGGCACAAACAUUCAGUCAAGAGUCCCAUUUCAGCAGUCAACUAAAGAGUUCUUGGAAUCACACUCUGUUGGGAUGAGGACUUGAAGGCAUAAUUGUUUCAUGGAAUGGCCAACAAAAAGGUACCGUUCCUCUGAGGUCUUUAAAAGCAGUCUUUGCAAAGUUCAGAAAGGUACUGUCUGUACAUUUUAGUGGAAAGAUUGUGUUAAAUCCAUGCAAAAUAGUCUGAUAAUAUCAUUUUAUGUUGUUGGAAGGUGCUCGGUUUAAGUCUUUAGGGGUAGUUUGCCAUAUGGAAGCAUUUACUGAAAAAUCUCAAGGACUGAAACUGAUUUGGCAGAACAAAAAUAAUACAUUUAAGAAGUAAAUUAAUUCAGAUUUCAUUGAAUCAGAUUUCCAAUUCAGUGAGUCAUCCGCUGUGUGAACAGCCAAAUCUGGUAAGCAGCCAAAAAAUGUGCAUGUCUUUAGUUUCCUCAACUGACCUUUUCAGUCUUUUGUAGUAACUAAGAAUUUAGUUUUUACAAUUUUUGAAAUGUCUGUAUUAAGGGGCUUCUAAGAAAAAAAAAGUCUUGCUCUGAAAAACUAAAACAAACACUAAAUGAAACAUUGGAAAACUAUUGGGAACAUUUUCAUGACCAAAACAAGACUAUUAUAAAUAUGACCAUGAAUAAUAAUAAUAAUAAUUAUUUUUGUAUUUUAUAUAUUACAACAUUUUUAACCUCAGUUAUUACCAUUAAAAAUCAAAAUGCCACUAGACCGUGAUAACACUGUCCAGCCAUGAGAAAACUGAUCCUGUAAAACUUAUUGAAAUGAUCAGUUAAUGUGUUAACUUAAGAAGCCCUAAAUAAUAUAAAAUAAUAAUUUAAUAAAUAAAUAUUUUGCUUAUAGAAUUUUUUAAUU